rnacentral:rRNA from 1 species
AGAGUUUGAUCCUGGCUCAGGAUGAACGCUAGCGGCAGGCCUAAUACAUGCAAGCCGAACGGCAAGUCUGAUAGCAAUAUUAGACCUAGAGUGGCGUAAGGGUGCGUAACACGUAUGCAAUCUGCCCACAACAGGAGGAUAGCUCCCCGAAAGGGGAAUUAACCCUCCAUAGGAUCACACGAGGGCAUCUGAGAGUGAUUAAACCAAAAGGGGUUGUGGAUGAGCAUGCGGUUGAUUAGCUAGUUGGCGGGGUAACGGCCCACCAAGGCGAUGAUCAAUAGGGGAACUGAGAGGUUUAUCCCCCACACUGGCACUGAGAUACGGGCCAGACUCCUACGGGAGGCAGCAGUAGGGAAUAUUGGACAAUGGGCGAGAGCCUGAUCCAGCCAUGCCGCGUGCAGGAAGAAGGCCUUCUGGGUUGUAAACUGCUUUUGCCAGGGGAUAAAAAGUCCCUGCGGGGAAAAUUGAAGGUACCUGGUGAAUAAGCCACGGCUAACUACGUGCCAGCAGCCGCGGUAAUACGUAGGUGGCAAGCGUUGUCCGGAUUUAUUGGGUUUAAAGGGUGCGUAGGCGGUUCUAUAAGUCAGUGGCGAAAUACGGCAGCUCAACUGUCGAGGUGCCAUUGAUACUGCAGAACUUGAGUACAGACGAGGUAGGCGGAAUUGGCGGUGUAGCGGUGAAAUGCUUAGAUAUCGUCAAGAACACCGAUAGCGGAGGCAGCUUACUAGACUGUAACUGACGCUGAGGCACGAAAGUGUGGGGAUCAAACAGGAUUAGAUACCCUAGUAGUCC